rnacentral:rRNA from 1 species
UUUUAUUUUGUUAUUAAUUUUUAAUUUUUAUUUAAUAAGGGGAAUUAUAUUUUUUUUAUUAUUUUUGUUAGAAAAAAUUGUUAUUAUUAUAGUUUAAAGUAUUGAAAUAGAAUUAAUUUAAAUUUUAAGAAGAAGAAUUUUUUCGUACCUUGUGUAUCAGGGUUUAUUAAUUUAUUAUUAAUUAUUUAGUUUUCCCGAAUUCAAAAGAGCUAUUAUUUUAUUUAUUUUGUUGUUUAAUAAGCAUUUAUAAUUAAAUGAUGGUAGUGAAAUGUUAUUCGUUUUUGAUGAUAUCUGGUUUCCUGAGAAAUUAAUUUAAUUUAUGUAAUUUGUAAUGUAUUUAUUUUUUAAUAUUGAUACUUUUAUAUUUACUUAUGGCUAUUGGGAUAAGCUUGAAGUCAAAUUGUUAUAAAUAUUUUUGUUAGUGAUUUUAUUUAGGAUUAGAAUUUUCCAUUCUUUGAAGGAUGUUAUAUUUUUAAAUCUUUUUUUAUAAUUUUCUAUUUUUUAAUUAUUUAUUAGGACUAAAUUUUAAUUUUUAAUUUUUUGUGAUAAUGAUUAAAUUAGUAUAUUUUUAUUGUUUUUGUCUGUUAUUGUUAUGUGAUUAAAAGGAAUUCGGCAAAUUUAGAUUUUCACCUGUUUAUUAAAAACAUGUCUUUAUGAAUAUUAUUUAAAGUCUGGCCUGCCCAAUGAUUAGUUAAAUGGCCGCAGUAUUUUGACUGUGCAAAGGUAGCAUAAUCAUUAGUUUCUUAAUUAGAAGCUGGAAUGAAAGGUUUGAUGAAAAAUUAACUGUCUUUUAUUUAAUAUUAUAGAAUUUUAUUUUUAAGUAAGAAAGCUUAAAUUUUUAAUAUAGACGAGAAGACCCUAUAGAGUUUUAUUAAUUAUUUAUUUUUAUUUUUUGAUUUGUUUAUUUUAUAUAAUUAAUUUUGUUGGGGUGAUGAAUAAAUUUUAUAAACUUUAUUUUUUUACACGAUUAUGCUCGUUUACUUGAUCCUUAUUUUUGGAUUAUAAGAUUAAAUUACCUUAGGGAUAACAGCGUAAUUUUUUUUGAAAGUUCUUAUUGAUAAAAAAGUUUGCGACCUCGAUGUUGGAUUAAAAUUAAUAUUUGGUGCAGUAGCCUUAAUAUUAGGUCUGUUCGACCUUUAAAAUUUUACAUGAUCUGAGUUUAGACCGGCGUGAGCCAGGUUGGUUUCUAUCUUGUUUCGUUUUUCAUAUUUUAGUACGAAAGGACCAUUUAUG